rnacentral:rRNA from 1 species
AACGAACGCUGGCGGCAUGCCUAACACAUGCAAGUCGAACGAGACCUUCGGGUCUAGUGGCGCACGGGUGCGUAACGCGUGGGAACCUGCCCUUAGGUUCGGAAUAACUCCCCGAAAGGGGUGCUAAUACCGGAUAAUGUCUUCGGACCAAAGAUUUAUCGCCUUUGGAUGGGCCCGCGUUGGAUUAGCUAGUUGGUAGGGUAAAAGCCUACCAAGGCGACGAUCCAUAGCUGGUCUGAGAGGAUGAUCAGCCACACUGGGACUGAGACACGGCCCAGACUCCUACGGGAGGCGGCAGUGGGGAAUAUUGGACAGUGGGCGAAAGCCUGAUCCAGCAAUGCCGCGAGAGUGAUGAAGGCCUUAGGGUUGUAAAGCUCUUUUACCCGGGAUGAUAAUGACAGUACCGGGAGAAUAAGCACCGGCUAACUCCGUG